UUUGGCUAGCCCCAAGUGCAUGGGGGUUUGUUGAAGCAACAGCACUCUUGAUUUCUUAGAGCUGGUAUGUGGGUGUUGGAUUGUGUCAUUCGUAGGAGGUGAACGUCAGAGGAAGCGGGAUCAACUGCUGGAGGUUUGUGAGCCAGAUGGUUUGGAAUCUACCACUGAUGUUGACAUCCUGACUGAAUCUCAGACUCCUGGGCUUCACUGCAGCUGGGCAACCCUCACCCCAUACAGACAGGCAGCAAGUGAAGGUAAAGACUUGCUAUGCUGACUCAGAGGAAAGGUUGAACAAGCCUGGGCUCCUGCCUCUGACAGUGGCCAGAGAAUCUUCAAGAAAGUCACAGAAGAAAACAAGCACUUUUCCCUGAUUCAUCCUCUUCACAAAUCAUUUCAUCCUCUCUCUAACCAGUUCCCUCUGGAGGAAAGACAAUGGAAAAGAGAAAUGCAGCAGCAACCUUUGGCCAUUCAGCUUGUUCCUUCUUCCCAGCACGGUGUAGGAUCUGCCAUCUGAUCUUCCCCCUAACAGAACAUUUGAAGGGUCAGUAACAGCCUCAAAACAGGUAAAAUUAAACCUGUCCUACUUUUGGAAGGUUGCAAAAUUGCACAUGUUGU